rnacentral:lncRNA from 1 species
CCCAACCCGACUCCAUAACUCAAUCCUUUAUAUAAAUAAUCCCCCGUUUCUUUUUCUUUAAUCAAAUCCCUUCACUUUUUUUAAAAAAAUCUUCAUAAGAAAAAAAUGACUCCAUUUACUGUUAUGUUAAUGGUUCUUUUCCUUGUGUUCACCUUGUCUCAGGCCCGCUUUUUGACAGUUGAACCGGAGUUACGCCGCUCCGUUCGCCAGGUCCAGGCGAGAUGGGCCGAGUUUCCUGUUUCUUUUUUAAAUAUAUUUCAUAAGAAAAGAAAAAUGGCUCCAUUUACUGUUAUGUUAAUGGUUAUUGUGUUCACCUUGUCUCAGGCCCGUUUUUUGACAGUUGAACCGGAACUUGGCGCCACUGCCCAAGAUACUAUCUCGAAUGUACCCGAUUCCGACCCGAGAACCACAACAAUCACUGUCCUUCUCUCUGGAGAUAGACCCGGGUCCGAACCCGCCGC